rnacentral:rRNA from 1 species
UCGCUCCUACCGAUUUCGAGUGCUCCGGUGAACCUUUUGGACCGCUGGUGUUUCGGCACUGCGCGGGAAAUCAAGUAAACCAUAUCACUUAGAGGAAGGAG